UGACCAUGGUGACAAGUCGAGCCCCCCGA
rnacentral:sRNA from 1 species